AGUCAUGGUAUUAGGAGGUGGGGCCCUUGGGAGGCGAUCAGGUUGUGAAGGUGGAGCCCUCAUAAAUAGGGUUCGUGCUUUUACGAAAGAGACCCCAGAGAGCUCCCUCACCCCUUCUGCCAUGUGAAGACACAGCGAGAGGAGCGCUGUCUGCGACCCAGGAAGAAGGCCUUCACCAGACGCUGCGUCUGCCAGCACCUUGAUCUUGGACUCCAGCCUCCAGAACGAGCCAGAAAAGAAAAUAUGAAGAAAAUACCAAAGCCAAUGAGAUGAUAUGAAAACGACUUCAGAGCUGUGGCUGGUCAGAAGCAUUAAAAGGAAUCCAGGAUGUUGAUGGUGGAGAAUUCAAUCUACCCAAAUCAGGCAACAAAAGGAACAAAGGGAGAAUUCAGUAAGAACUCAGUCAGUAUAAAUCACAAAAUCCCUAUGAAGGAUAUAAGCCUGAAGUCCCUGGGUGACGCAGCAAUUGUAAAGGGACCUCGCAGGUCUACCGGCAGCACGGAUGGACUCUCUCAGGAAGCAGGGGAUUCUCAGGUCCUGCGACCUGGUCUGAAAUCUCAUAUUGUGGUCGCGGACACUGACCCAGGAAGCUCUGCUCACCCCAGUUGUAAACUGCUCCCUGUGCUUGGAUAAGUAUGGGGUAAUAUGGGCUGGUCUGGUGAGCGUGGACGAUCCUGAGAUCCCUGAUAGAAAUCAACUAACGCAUUUGAAUUAUUGUUAGUGUUCCCACUUUCCAUCUCAAAAAUGUCCCAGUUUAGAAAAUAAAUUUUAUGGUAACCAUAGGUAAUUACUGUACAACCUUAGAAAAGUUUAGAAUUAAAUAUAGAAAUGAAAUAAAACAAGCAUAGUCUUAAUACCUUUGUGUUAAGUUUGGGGUAAAGCUCUGUAUUUUGUAUUUAAACUUUGUAAAGUAUAUAAAAAUACAUAGAAUUUCACAGAUUAUUCUUGUAAUUCUAAUUUAAUGUGCAAUUGAUUUUGACUUUUUUCAUUUUUGAGGAAGAUUAGCCCUGAGCUAACAUCCACUGCAAAUCCUCUUCUUUUUGCUAAGGAAGACUGGCCCUGACUUAACAUUCAUGCCCACCUUCCGCUACUGUACAUGUGGACCCCCGGCCACAGAAGAGUUUGAUAAGCACUGUGUAGGUCUGUGUGAUCUGAACCUGCAAACCUGGGCCACCAAAGCAGAGGGCGAGAACCCCACUGCCAUGCCACCAGGCCGGCCUCUGAUUUUGAUUUUAAGCCAAAAGGCAAAGAUGAUUUGACAAUAAUAAGUUUUUAGACAAUAUCAGAUUUUAUAUUUUGUAUAGCCAUUUAAUCAAUCAACAUUCCUUUUCAUUGGAUGUUCAUGUCAUUUCUAGUUGUUUUAUAUAAACAAUUGUUUAAAUAUAGUUUUUUUCCUAAAGAUAAUUUUUCUAGAAGUAGAGAUAGGGAAUCAAAAGGAGUAGACAUUUUGUGUUGAGCCAGGUUGUAAGAAGUUACUACCACCUUGCACUCUCUGGGAGGAAAAUGAAGUUGUCCAUUUCCUACACAUUCACCAAUAACAAGUAUUAUAUUUACAAAUAUAUAAUCUAUUUUGUGGUUAAUGUGCAUUUAUCUGACUACUCAUACGUUUAAGCUUUUUCCUAUAUGCAUGUUGGCCAUUCAUAUUUCAGUGUUUUGACUUGAUCCAUAUUCUAAAUUGAAAACAUGUUAAAUAGAUAGAUACAUGUAUAAAUACUUUUCCUCUAAACCCCAAUUUUAAACCCUGAUUCUACAGAAAUAUAUAUGUACAUAUAUACGUACGAGAUGAUGAGGUUAGAAUUUUAAUCGGUUGCAGUUACUGCCUAUUGCCACUGGUUGGGGGUCGAGAGCCACAUAGUCUGAGCCCCACUCUUGAGCUGAGAUCCCAGGCAGUGGAGCCACACUGGGCAGGUGGGGGGAGGGGCGCUUUCUCUUGGGUGCACUAUGGGCUUUCUUGCUCUGCUCCUACUAUCUGGUCUCCUGGGCUGGGGUGUUGGCUUGAUGAGGUCACUGCCCGCCCCCGCCCCCGCCCCACCUCAUGAAAGCUUUCCCCGUUAGAGGGCUUCCCUCCAGGCUGUAACGGCCCUAGGAAGUCUCUGGUGAUCCUGCAAAUGUGCAACCCCCUCUCCCAUUCCUUCCCUCAGAGAACCUCACAGUCUUCAGGGGAGGGAGCAAAGUUCUCUCUUACCCCGUUCCAGCUCCUCCGAGGGUGGGGCGGGGUCCAGCCUCUCUGCCCUCUGUCAUGUGGGUGCAAGAGGAUUUUGUGUUGUGAGGGUGUCCUCUGUUGGAGUAUGGAUGCCUCUUUUUGUUGUAUGUUGGAGGGGAGAGAGUCCCGGGCAAGUGCACUCCACCAUGAUGCUGACGUCCUUGAUGGGGCUAGAAUUUUACCUUUGAACAGUCAAAUUCCUUGGUGUAUCUAUCUUAAAAUGGUGAAAUCUGACUUUGUAUCUACUUGAAAAACCUGGAUGUUCUCUGAUGUUUCUUAAUUUUUUUCAUAAAGCCAUAUACUUCAGACUAGUAGAUUUACAACCCAGGCAUGAGGAGCUGGACAAGUAGGACUUGGGGAGGAGGUCAUAAUCAGAGGAAAGGGUGCCGUAUAUAUUCCUGUGUCUGUCUUAGUGUCAUUGACUCCAAGGGAAAGGAGAUUUUUGUAGGUUCAGGAUGAGCAGAUCUAAGCAAUAAACUAACGGCUGAUUCUCUUGAUCACUUUACUUUAGAUAUGGUCAUUUACAAUUCAAACGACAGGACUCUACAGUUUUCAUAAAACAUUUGCUGAGUGAUUUACAUCAAUAUUUCAUUUCCUAUCAUGAGAGUUGAUUGCCUUUUUUGUUGGUACCACCCUGGGGCUGUUGCACUAAGUUGGUGGAGUGCUCUGAUUUUUCAGUGAUUAUUUUUGAUAUUUUUGAUACUUUACUAUUUUUGAUAACAUUUAUCAGAUAAUCAGACUUCCUAAGAAAUAACCUCAAGUAGGGUUAUCAAUGAUCUGUAUUCUGCUUUGGACGAAUUUAAAGGAUGCCGUAUGAGCCUUUGUGAUUAGCUGGUUAUAAAUUAAGAGAUAGCUCAAUGAUUCUUGCAACUAUUGAUGGUGCAAAAGUAGUAAUUUUUCUGAUAGGAUGGAUAUAUAGAGUUAGGAAAUCUGUGCUUAUAAAAGCAGGUGUUAUGACUGAAGUCCUUGCAUUUCCUUUCUGGCCUGAUAAUAGUAAAACUGUGGGUCAAAAAAAGAUGUCUUGAUUUGAUUGCUAUGUCUCUGAGUAAAAGAGAUAGUUCUUUCCAUAUAUAAAUAAUUUUAUUUAAAAAAAUAUUUGUGUUCUUGGAAAUGUUUUGUUUAUAGGCUUUGUAAAUUUGUCCUGUAAUGAAUUUGAAAUGCUUAAAAAUGAAAGAAAAUGUUAAAUUUUUGAAAAAUGUUUAAAAUAUCUCAGUAAAUAUAAUUAUAAAAAAGGACUGAGGGCAAUUAUUCUGUUCAAUAUAGAAAUGUUCAUCCAAUAACCACUGAAAAAGUGAUGAUAUUUAUCAUUGUACUAAAUUUAGAAAUAGAAUAACAAAAUUUGUAAGUUGGGCAUAACUACUUAAGAAAGACUUAUUUUUGAUUUUGCGACCUUAAGAAAUUGAACGUUAAUUUUAAAACCAUAUAGCUUUUAAACACUUCUUUAUACGUACAGAGCCCUCCACUCCAGCAUAUUAAACAUAAAAACAAAAAACUCACAUUGAUUAUUCCAUGAAGAACAGAAAAUGCGGCCAGAUUGAAGAGCAUGAGGAACAGUCUAGAGGUGAGGAAAAGAGAGAACAGACACCUCCUUCAUGAAGUUUGGAUGAAAAAGGAGGAGACCUUGGGACAUGAUAAGAAGAGGGUAGAAAGUCAAUGGUUGUUUUUCCCCCUUCCAGUUAAUGGUGGGAGAGUUUUGAAUGUGUUUCUCAGCAGAGGGGAAAAAGUUCACACUGAAGAACAACUGGAAGAUUCUAAUACAGACGGAUGGCUAAGGAGGCAGGAUCCCAGAGAAUCCCGGAGGGACGGGAUUGGAAGUCCUGGCAGGAGCAUUGUCCUGUGUCAGAGGACAGAGACAUGAGUCUGCAAGAAAGGAGGUAAGAAAAGCAGGCAAGAAGGGGUUUGUGAGCACGUGACUGAGGCCCGCACUGAGAACCAGUGGGGUGCAUUCACAGAGCUGCCCUUCUCAGACUAUGAUCAGAGCGCUGGCUAGCAGUUGGUUCACCAGGAAGCUCAACGUAUCCUACAGAUUAUUGGCCAUUGUGGUAGGUUGAAAUUUUGGUUUCAAUUCUUCAUUCUCCCGUGAGAGAUUCAUGUCGUUUCCUC
ensembl:lncRNA